AGUUAUACAUGUUUGGCAUAGUACUU
rnacentral:piRNA from 1 species